UACGGGGGGUGCGAGCGUUGUCCGGAUUCACUGGGCGUAAAGGGUGCGUAGGCGGGUCUUUAAGUCAGGGGUGAAAUCCUGGAGCUCAACUCCAGAACUGCCUUUGAUACUGAGGAUCUUGAGUUCGGGAGAGGUGAGUGGAACUGCGAGUGUAGAGGUGAAAUUCGUAGAUAUUCGCAAGAACACCAGUGGCGAAGGCGGCUCACUGGCCCGAUACUGACGCUGAGGCACGAAAGCGUGGGGAGCAAACAGG
rnacentral:rRNA from 1 species